CUUGUACCGACUGGAUGAGCAGCGAACGGGUGAGUAACGCGUGGGGAAUCUGCCUUUGAGCGGGGGACAACAUUUGGAAACGAAUGCUAAUACCGCAUAAAAACUUUAAACACAAGUUUUAAGUUUGAAAGAUGCAAUUGCAUCACUCAAAGAUGAUCCCGCGUUGUAUUAGCUAGUUGGUGAGGUAAAGGCUCACCAAGGCGAUGAUACAUAGCCGACCUGAGAGGGUGAUCGGCCACAUUGGGACUGAGACACGGCCCAAACUCCUACGGGAGGCAGCAGUAGGGAAUCUUCGGCAAUGGACGAAAGUCUGACCGAGCAACGCCGCGUGAGUGAAGAAGGUUUUCGGAUCGUAAAACUCUGUUGGUAGAGAAGAACGUUGGUGAGAGUGGAAAGCUCAUCAAGUGACGGUAACUACCCAGAAAGGGACGGCUAACUACGUGCCAGCAGCCGCGGUAAUACGUAGGUCCCGAGCGUUGUCCGGAUUUAUUGGGCGUAAAGCGAGCGCAGGUGGUUUAUUAAGUCUGGUGUAAAAGGCAGUGGCUCAACCAUUGUAUGCAUUGGAAACUGGUAGACUUGAGUGCAGGAGAGGAGAGUGGAAUUCCAUGGGUUGGCGG
rnacentral:rRNA from 1 species